rnacentral:tRNA from 1 species
AAAAAAGAAAAAUGAAACACUAAGUUUCUUAGCAACAGAAAGCAAUUCAACGUUAGACUGACGAAUGUCAGGCAUUGAAUAUGUUUGCGGUGCCAAGUCUGAAGUGCAGCGUCUUCGUUUCGUGGUUUCGUACCGAGAACAUUGUUUUCGCAGAAUUUUUAGCCACCGGUCGUCCGCAUCAGUGUGGCCAUCGAAGUUAUGCGCUGUUCUUGUUUAAAAUUCGUAGAGCAACAUUCGAUUCAUACGUCUCGCCACCACCCGUCACUGAAUAAUCUGGUGCGCCACGAAGCGAUACGGCUUUGUUCAGACUAAUUCAAAUCUAAGAGUGUGCAGGAAAAAAAAAAAAAAAAAAAAAAAGUGGAGGUGCGGGGUAUCGAUCCCCGUACCUCUCGCAUGCUAAGCGAGCGCUCUACCAUCUGAGCUACACCCCCGACGGGACAUGAAGUGAAAAUACAUAACUUUAAACGUUUGAGUACCGUAUGCAUCUGUAAUUAAUGCACAAAGGUCAAUUCCUUCUCAGAAAUGUUUCGUGUCUGCCUUCACAGCUAAUUAGGCGAUGGCGCCAGCUGUCCGCACACUGCCGAUUAUGGAGGGAGGGACGACACCGAAUGCUGCCGGCGAUGCUGCGUCAGCAGCAGAGAGUCAGCUGCGUUGGUUGGCGCCAUAAUUGGUCGACACACGUGAUCCGAUAACGGAAGACACCCUGGAACGGAGGCGAUUCAAGCAAGGCAGAACACACCAGGUGAGAGCUGCCAUUCCAGCACUACAGGGGUAAAGCCGGACAUCAACCGUCUUCUGUGGGAAUGUCCAAGGCUCGAAGGACUGCGCCAGCUCGACUUCAACAGAUCGGCUGCAAAAGUGGUUCAUAGUACCAGAUCGUCAAACUGAAUCUCCACAUUUUGUACGCUAUAGGCGAAAUUGCUUCCUAGAUCAUCGCAUCCGACGCACGCGAAGGGUACGCUGUUUGACCACUGGCCAGGCGGGCAAGUCAUCGGGAGCCAACUGUUCGUCUGCAGAGUCUGUGUUUAAUCUUGCUGCUAGGCCUCCCCACCGCGCCGUGCACUUGUCUUCCGAAAGGCCGGAGCCGAGUGGAAACGGAAAUGCCGUCAUAUCCAUCUUUACACCACGAACACCGGAAUCAAGCUCCACAAAACAGUUUCUGACGAAGCAAAGCCACAAAGUUAGAGCUGGAUUUCGCGACGUUUGCUCCACUGCAGAAUGAUCUCGUCGGUCAAAAGGAAGAGAAGGAAGACGACAGGGUACCGUCCAAAGAGGUUAGCCAUCUUCCCAAUCAGCGGCUAUGAAAAGGACCACGUCAUCGGCUUAUCGUGUAUACUACAAUGACUCUUCUAUGAAACGUGGCGUUCGUGCGUGUGUGUCUGUGAAUUGAGAAUAGCUAUGUAGUCGAGAGUGGCGGACUGCACAGUAUUCUGCAACGCGCAAAUAAAGAAGAGUAUAAGUAAUUAU